UACGUAGGGGGCAAGCGUUAUCCGGAUUUACUGGGUGUAAAGGGAGCGUAGACGGCUGUGCAAGUCUGAAGUGAAAGGCAUGGGCUCAACCUGUGGACUGCUUUGGGAACUGUGCAGCUAGAGUGUCGGAGAGGUAAGUGGAAUUCCUAGUGUAGCGGUGAAAUGCGUAGAUAUUAGGAGGAACACCAGUGGCGAAGGCGGCUUACUGGACGAUGACUGACGUUGAGGCUCGAAAGCGUGGGGAGCAAACAGG
rnacentral:rRNA from 1 species